AUCCUGGCUCAGGAUGAACGCUAGCUACAGGCUUAACACAUGCAAGUCGAGGGGCAUCAUUGGGAUAGCUUGCUAUUUCAGAUGGCGACCGGCGCACGGGUGAGUAACGCGUAUCCAACCUUCCCCUUAGUAGGGCAUAGCCCGGCGAAAGUCGGAUUAAUACCCUAUGUUGUAUAUUGAGGACAUCUGAUUUAUACCAAAGAUUCAUCGCUAAGGGAUGGGGAUGCGUCCGAUUAGGUAGUCGGCGGGGCAACGGCCCACCGAGCCGUCGAUCGGUAGGGGUUCUGAGAGGAAGGUCCCCCACACUGGUACUGAGACACGGACCAGACUCCUACGGGAGGCAGCAGUGAGGAAUAUUGGUCAAUGGGCGUGAGCCUGAACCAGCCAAGUAGCGUGCAGGAAGACGGCCCUAUGGGUUGUAAACUGCUUUUAUCAGGGGAUAAAGUGAGGGACGUGUCCCUUAUUGCAGGUACCUGAUGAAUAAGGACCGGCUAAUUCCGUGCC
rnacentral:rRNA from 1 species